rnacentral:tRNA from 1 species
GGGGGUUCAGCUCGGCCAGCUGGCACGGUUCCACUGCAGUUCAGGACGGUGGCGAACCUUCCCGGACCCCCGGACGAACAGUUGGAAAGCGUGUUGGGGGCAACCCCUCACGAGUUCGAAUCUCGUAUCCUCCGCCA